rnacentral:rRNA from 1 species
UACGAAGGGGCGAGCGUUGUUCGGAAUUACUGGGCGUAAAGGGCGCGUAGGCGGCCGAUCAAGUCAGAUGUGAAAGUCCUGGCUUAACCUGGGGACUGCAUUUGAUACUGAUUGGCUUGAAUGCAGGAGAGGAUAGCGGAAUUCCCAAGUGUAGAGGUGAAAUUCGUAGAUAUUGGGAAGAACACCGGUGGCGAAGGCGGCUAUCUGGACUGUGGAUUGACGC